GGUUCAAUGGUCUAGUGGUUAUGAUUUCUGUCUCACAUUGAGAUUACUCACCUGCUCUCGGGUGCACAGAAGGUCUCCAGUUCGAUCCUGGAUUGAACCA
rnacentral:tRNA from 1 species